UAAGAAAGAGAGGUUGUAAGGGUUGUCUCCUAAACCCGUGAAAAGGAGAAAGAGUGUAAAAGGGUAGUUGAUCUUCGUCCAUUGAAGGAAGAUCGUUAGUGGAUGCCGGUGGCCUUGACGGAAGAGGAAUUGACGGAGUGGAUGUAGGUCACGACGACCGAACCACUAUAAAAAUCUGGUUUGCUUUUCUAUUUGUGCAAUUUACCUUACUGCAAACUUCCUUACUUGCUUUAC
rnacentral:lncRNA from 1 species